rnacentral:rRNA from 1 species
UACGGAGGGUGCAAGCGUUAUCCGGAUUCACUGGGUUUAAAGGGCGCGUAGGUGGGUUGGUAAGUCAGUGGUGAAAUCUCCGAGCUUAACUCGGAAAGGUCAACUGAUACUGUGCGGCUAGAGUGCGGAAGGGGCAACUGGAAUUCUUGGUGUAGCGGUGAAAUGCGUAGAUAUCAGGAGGAACACCUGCGGCGAAGGCGGGUUGCUGGGCCGACACUGACGCUGAUGCGCGAAAGCUAGGGGAGCGAACGGG